CGAGUCUUAACCGGGCGUUAAGUUGCAGGGUAUAGACCCGAAACCCGGUGAUCUAGCCAUGGGCAGGUUGAAGGUUGGGUAACACUAACUGGAGGACCGAACCGACUAAUGUUGAAAAAUUAGCGGAUGACCUGUGGCUGGGGGUGAAAGGCCAAUCAAACCGGGAGAUAGCUGGUUCUCCCCGAAAGCUAUUUAGGUAGCGCCUCGUGAACUCAUCUCCGGGGGUAGAGCACUGUUUCGGCUAGGGGGCCAUCCCGGCUUACCAACCCGAUGCAAACUGCGAAUACCGGAGAAUGUUAUCACGGGAGACACACGGCGGGUGCUAACGUCCGUCGUGAAGAGGGAAACAACCCAGACCGCCAGCUAAGGUCCCAAAGUCAUGGUUAAGUGGGAAACGAUGUGGGAAGGCCCAGACAGCCAGGAUGUUGGCUUAGAAGCAGCCAUCAUUUAAAGAAAGCGUAAUAGCUCACUGGUCGAGUCGGCCUGCGCGGAAGAUGUAACGGGGCUAAACCAUGCACCGAAGCUGCGGCAGCGACACUCAGGUGUUGUUGGGUAGGGGAGCGUUCUGUAAGCCUGUGAAGGUGUGUCGUGAGGCAUGCUGGAGGUAUCAGAAGUGCGAAUGCUGACAUAAGUAACGAUAAAGCGGGUGAAAAGCCCGCUCGCCGGAAGACCAAGGGUUCCUGUCCAACGUUAAUCGGGGCAGGGUGAGUCGACCCCUAAGGCGAGGCCGAAAGGCGUAGUCGAUGGGAAACGGGUUAAUAUUCCCGUACUUGGUGUUACUGCGAAGGGGGGACGGAGAAGGCUAUGUUGGCCGGGCGACGGUUGUCCCGGUUUAAGCGUGUAGGUGUGUGUUCCAGGUAAAUCCGGUUCACUUUAACACUGAGGCGUGACGACGAGGCACUACGGUGCUGAAGCAACAAAUGCCCUGCUUCCAGGAAAAGCCUCUAAGCAUCAGGUAACAUCAAAUCGUACCCCAAACCGACACAGGUGGUCAGGUAGAGAAUACCAAGGCGCUUGAGAGAACUCGGGUGAAGGAACUAGGCAAAAUGGUGCCGUAACUUCGGGAGAAGGCACGCUGACACGUAGGUGAAGUGAUUUACUCAUGGAGCUGAAGUCAGUCGAAGAUACCAGCUGGCUGCAACUGUUUAUUAAAAACACAGCACUGUGCAAACACGAAAGUGGACGUAUACGGUGUGACGCCUGCCCGGUGCCGGAAGGUUAAUUGAUGGGGUCAGCGCAAGCGAAGCUCCUGAUCGAAGCCCCGGUAAACGGCGGCCGUAACUAUAACGGUCCUAAGGUAGCGAAAUUCCUUGUCGGGUAAGUUCCGACCUGCACGAAUGGCGUAAUGAUGGCCAGGCUGUCUCCACCCGAGACUCAGUGAAAUUGAACUCGCUGUGAAGAUGCAGUGUACCCGCGGCAAGACGGAAAGACCCCGUGAACCUUUACUAUAGCUUGACACUGAACAUUGAGCCUUGAUGUGUAG
rnacentral:rRNA from 1 species